AUGAACGCUAGCUACAGGCCUAACACAUGCAAGUCGAGGGGCAUCAGGAAGAAAGCUUGCUUUCUUUGAUGGCGACCGGCGCACGGGUGAGUAACACGUAUCCAACCUGCCGAUAACUCGGGGAUAGCCUUUCGAAAGAAAGAUUAAUACCCGAUGGUAUAAUCAGACCGCAUGGUCUUGUUAUUAAAGAAUUUCGGUUAUCGAUGGGGAUGCGUUCCAUUAGGCAGUUGGUGAGGUAACGGCUCACCAAACCUUCGAUGGAUAGGGGUUCUGAGAGGAAGGUCCCCCACAUUGGAACUGAGACACGGUCCAAACUCCUACGGGAGGCAGCAGUGAGGAAUAUUGGUCAAUGGGCGCAGGCCUGAACCAGCCAAGUAGCGUGAAGGAUGACUGCCCUAUGGGUUGUAAACUUCUUUUAUAUGGGAAUAAAGUUUUCCACGUGUGGAAUUUUGUAUGUACCAUAUGAAUAAGGAUCGGCUAACUCCGUGCCAGCAGCCGCGGUAAUACGGAGGAUCCGAGCGUUAUCCGGAUUUAUUGGGUUUAAAGGGAGCGUAGGUGGACAGUUAAGUCAGUUGUGAAAGUUUGCGGCUCAACCGUAAAAUUGCAGUUGAUACUGGCUGUCUUGAGUACAGUAGAGGUGGGCGGAAUUCGUGGUGUAGCGGUGAAAUGCUUAGAUAUCACGAAGAACUCCGAUUGCGAAGGCAGCUCACUGGACUGCAACUGACACUGAUGCUCGAAAGUGUGGGUAUCAAACAGG
rnacentral:rRNA from 1 species